ACGUAGGGUGCAGGCGUUAAUCGGAAUUACUGGGCGUAAAGCGUGCGCAGGCGGUUUGCUAAGACGGAUGUGAAAUCCCCGGGCUCAACCUGGGAACUGCAUUCGUGACUGCAUCGCUGGAGUGCGGCAGAGGGGGAUGGAAUUCCGCGUGUAGCAGUGAAAUGCGUAGAUAUGCGGAGGAACACCGAUGGCGAAGGCAAUCCCCUGGGCCUGCACUGACGCUCAUGCACGAAAGCGUGGGGAGCAAACAGGA
rnacentral:rRNA from 1 species